rnacentral:rRNA from 1 species
AGCAGCCGCGGUAAUUCCAGCUCCAAUAGCGUAUAUUAAAGUUGUUGCAGUUAAAAAGCUCGUAGUUGAAUUUCGGGGUCAAUAAGUUGGUCGUGCCAAUGGUAUGUACUGGCUUUAUUGAUUCCUACCUCUUGACGAACUGUGAUGCCAUUAAUUUGGUGUUGCAGGAAAUCAGGACUGUUACCUUGAAAAAAUUAGAGUGUUUAAAGCAGGCUUACGCUUGAAUACAUUAGCAUGGAAUAAUGAAAUAGGACGUUUGAACCUAUUUUGUUGGUUUCUAGGAUCGACGUAAUGAUUAAUAGGGAUAGUUGGGGGCAUUAGUAUUCAAUUGUCAGAGGUGAAAUUCUUGGAUUUAUUGAAGACUAACUACUGCGAAAGCAUUUGCCAAGGAUGUCUUCAUUAAUCAAGAACGAAAGUUAGGGGAUCGAAGACGAUCAGAUACCGUCGUAGUCUUAACCAUAAACUAUGCCGACUAGGAAUCGGAUGAUGUUAAUUU